UUGAAUGUAAAGCAAUGGGUAAAACAUAUACCGUUGCCAAGUAUUAUAACUACGGUAUAAUUAAUGUUUUAUCAGUAGAAGAUUACCAGGAUCUUCAUGGUCAGCAAUGGUUAAGUAGCAUGCUAAUUGAUCAAUAUUUAAAUUUGUAUUAUAAGGUUAAUUGCUUAACCAAGGAAUGGUUCAUAGACUAUUUGAUUUUGGAGUCAAAAAAAAGUGAAUUCAUUUUUUUUAAUGAGGAACUACAAAAGUUACCAAGAAGUUUUUUCAACGAGCUACCUAGGCUGGCGGGAAAAAAAGUAAUUUUAAUUCCAAUUCUCAGAAGUUCCCAUUUUACACUGGCAGUAGUGGAUUUUGAAAAUAAAACGUUCCACUAUUUGAAUCCAAUGAAAUCCAAUACAGAUCACACAUCUCAAAUGUUUAUUCGAUUUAAAAAGUUUAUAUCAGAAUAUAAAAAAUAUUGCAGUUUUAACGCUGAUCUAGAAUGUUUUCAAUUAAAGACGGUUGAACAUGACUACCAAACUGAUACAAACAAUUGUGGUAUUUUUGUUCUCUUUUAUAUUGAGGCAAUUUUAAAUAAAAACUCAUUAAAACAAAUGCCAUGUACACCACAACAAUAUAGAAUAAACGUGAAGGAGUUUUUGUUGGAAAAUUCAGAUGACAUGCAACAUGUUUGUAUGGGAUGUGCCAAAGAAGUUGUAACUUCUGAAGAAAAUUUUCUAAAAUGUACAUUUUGUUUGAGACUAACUCAUACAUACUGUCUUUAUGCUCCUUGGACAAUUCAAAAUGUGUGUCAUUUAUGUGUAAGAAAUUAUAAUCCAAAAACAUCUCAAAGUGCUGUUGGCACUUAAAAAUUUACAACACAUACAUAAAAUUGAGAAAUUUAAAAGUAACAUAAUUUUGUUAUGUACUUAAAAAAAUCCGGUCCACAGCAGGAGGAUUCUAUAGAAAAUAUAGGAUCCGAAUGUUUAUAAAAUAUACCUACCGAACCUAGGGCUUAUUUAUAGAAACUUUUUGUUUAAAUGAAACCUUUACAUCAUGACUACACAUUUUUAGUGUAAUAUUCCCGUUUAUAUGAUCAGUACUUUAUAUUAUUAGAUAUUUUUUUCGAUAAAUAGCUCUAUUAGUAUUGUACGAGUAGGUAUCAGCACUGAAAUAUUUUCUGGGUGUUAUCAGCACUGAAAUAUUUUCUGGGUGUUAUCAGCACUGAACUACUUUUUCGGUGUUCGCUACACUGAAAAGUGUUCUGGGUGUUUUUUGGACCGGAUGAUAAAGUGCAUAAUUUUGAGAAUUAUGAAAAAACUCUAAAUUCUAAUAUUAAAAAGAUGUUUCUUUGAUCCUUGAUGUCUGUAAUGGUUUAACAUGUAACAAAGAUGGUUGUAACGAAUACAAGCAUUUAUGUUCCACUUCGGAUUAAUUCAAUCGACAGCCAGGCUCUAAAGGUUUACCACGAAAAAUGAGAAAAAACAAAAGUGGUUAUCACGAAUACAAGUAUUUAUGUUCCACUUCGGAUUAACUCAAUCGACAGCCAGGCUCUAAAGGUUUACCACGAAAAAUGAGAAAAAACAAAAGUGGUUAUCACGUAUACAAGUAUUUAUGUUCCACUUCGGAUUAACUCAAUCGACAGCCAGGCUCUAAAGGUUUACCACGAAAAAUGAGAAAAAACAAAAGUGGUUAUCACGUAUACAAGUAUUUAUGUUCCACUUCGGAUUAACUCAAUCGACAGCCAGGCUCUAAAGGUUUACCACGAAAAAUGAGAAAAAACAAAAGUGGUUAUCACGUAUACAAGUAUUUAUGUUCCACUUCGGAUUAACUCAAUCGACAGCCAGGCUCUAAAGGUUUACCACGAAAAAUGAGAAAAAACAAAAGUGGUUAUCACGAAUACAAGUAUUUAUGUUCCACUCCGAAUCAACUCAACCGAUAGUCAGUAAUUCGACAACUUCAAGUUCUCCAAGAUUCUCGAAGUUUAAUCGUCUUAAAUUUGGUGCAAAUUUUUAAAUUUGUUGUUAAAGCUAUAAUUUCGUUAUUCAGAAAUAGUAUUUAGUAGUCCUUAUCCUCUAAGAUAUAAUUAGUCUAUUGUGUUUGUAUAUCUUGUGGUAACUGAUAUCUAUUGAAAAGAAACCCGAAUUUAUUCGAACAAAUUUUUACCCGCACAUUAUAACUUUAUAUUUAAUUAUGAUUAUGUUUUUUUGAUAUUCGCUAUUCCGCUUGUAAGAUUCGAAAAAAGUUAAAUUUUCUGCAAAAAAUCUAAGCACAGUUGUUUUCUGUCCUAAGAUCUUACCUGGUCGGCAGAGACAGCCAGUCUUUUAUGUUUUAUUGAAAGGGCGCAUGAGUCUUAACACUUUUACAAAAACCGUCAUAAUUUCACAGAUAAGGUUUAUGAAGGUUGCAUAAUCUUAGAAGGUAAGGUUUACUAAUUACUACACUAUUUUUGUUUUGAAAGAAGGCGUUGUGUAAAACAUUCUGUAUUUAUGUUUAAAUUUGAAAGGAAAUGUGCAAUAUAAGUUUGUUACUUGA